CGGUGUCUGGGGAGCGGCUGCCGGCCGGGCCCGCGCGAGCCGCUUCACUCCUACAAGCCCGGCUCACUAGUUCCAAGCUGCUGGACUUUGACCCUCGCUGGGAAGCUUGAUCGCCGCCUGUUCUCGCCAAUCUCUAUGCCUUUGCACUGCCCAGCAACCCGGUCACUGCCCAGGACCUGUUAAAAGUUGAAUGGACCUCCCAGAAUCACGCCGCUGCCACCGCCGUUUCUAGAGACGGCUUUUGGCCACCUUUGAGAAUCAGGGUCAAACUUGGAAGGGCCUGCAUUUGUCACACUUCCUCGGACACUAAUUUGGAUAGUUCAGGCCCAGAGACGGCUUCCCGGGUUAGUGUGCCUGACAACACUGAAGAAAAAUUGUGACAUUUUCCUUCCCCAGAAUUACUUCGUUUUAUACAUUUCACUUCUCUUCUGAAAUCACAGCAAUGCCAGUUUGCGCCUUUUGGUCUGAGGAACGCAGGCCCUGGCCACUACCAGGAAAAAAUCCUUUGCACAUGGCCUGCUAUCAACAAUCCUCUACAAUGAUUCUCAGCAUCACCUAGGGAGCUUAUGUAAAAUCUCAAAUUCCUGGGCCCUAUCCCCAGAGUUUCUUAUCAAGUAAGUCUGCAUUGGGAUCUGAGGAUUUGCAUCUCUAACAAAAAUUCCUAGGCGAUGCUCACACUGUUGGUGUAAGGUUUCCUUGAUGGAGAACUAUCAAAGCAGUCAAAGCUAUCAAAAUAAAAAAGAAUUCUGAUUGGGUGCAGUGGCUCACACCUGUCAUUCCAGCACUUUGAGAGGCCAAGGUGGGCAGAUCACAUGAGGCCAGGAGUUCAAGACCAGCCUGGCCAACAUGGCAGAAACCCCAUCUCUACUAAAAAUACCAAAAUUAGCCGGGCAUGGUGGAACACACCUGCAAUCCCAGCUACUCGGGAGGCUGAGGCAAGAGAAUCGCUUGAACCUGGGAGGCAGAAGUUGCAGUGAAACAAGUUGGUGCCAAUGCAUUCCAGCCUGGA
rnacentral:lncRNA from 10 species